UUAAGCGACUGCACCACGUUGUUAAAUGUCCAGUUUAAACUUUAAAGCUUCUUUAAAAGGAAAAAUUAAAUACAGCCUGCACAUGUAUGCAGCCGGUGUCGGAAUAUUUGAUGAAUGGACAGAAAGAGACGAGAAAUGGGAAGAUAAAAAAGAGAGUGAGAAAGCUGAUGGUCAUGCUUUAUUCACUGCGCAUGUGGCCAGGAUUGGCAGGAACAAAAAAUGUUAAUAUUAUAAAGAAAAAGAAGAUUUAAGUACACUGUCAAUGAAAGAACAAAACAGUUUAGCAUUGGAAAAGUUGAAAAACAAAAGACGAGGCCUUUUGACUGAAGGGGGUUAUACAGGCAUUAUUCCAUCUUGAAUCAAGUCCAGAAAAGGAGCCAGGCUGCCAACUGCGAGCUUAAAAAAAUAACCAAAAAAUUAAAGAAUACAUCAACAAGUAUAAUUUCAUAGGUGGGAGUCCAACAAUACCACCAUCAACAAGCACAUUUGCGGAAACCUUUCCCAUACCUUUGUCAGUGAAGCAGCAGGCAACCAGAUUGUUCUGCCUUGAGAAGAGAGCUGCUGAAGAGCAUGUAUUAGUCAAAUCAUGAAUAGGGUCCAUUUCUGAAUACUGUGGGACAGAAAAAUGUGCAUUGGUAAAAGAGGUAUUAUACCUUGAAAGAACUUUCAACUCCCUCUUGUCGCAUUUAAAAUGCAUCUCUAAAUGCCCAUGACAGUUUUGCAGGCAUGGUUGGACUUUCUAAACUGAGUGGUGCCAGGAGUUAUGGAUCUGAAUCUGUGAACUGUGAAGCUCUGCUUAACUGUGAGGAGGAUUUAGCUAAAGACAGUGAAGACCGAUAUAGUAAUAGUAACUUGGUUGAUACAUUAAAUUACAUCAGCCAGUUUAAGUGAUAAAGAAGACCAAAUUUUAUUGCUUUCAAAGUGUAUUUCUUGUCAAGUAGUCAUAAUAUUUACUGAAAAUUAUUAAGAUGAAAACCAGACUUGUAAACAAGUGGUUUGUGAAAAUUAUGAAAAUACUUAACUUGUGAAGAGUUCAUAUUCAAUAGUGCUGUAAAUUGCAAUCAAUCUAAUAUUCAUAAAAUCAAUUAGAGGAGAACCAGACUUGUUAGAAAGUAAUGUUGAUUUAAGGAAAUUCAGACUUUUGAAAGUUAAUUUGUGAACAUUUGGAAAAUGAUGAAUAUAUGUCCAAGACAUUAUAGUGACAAUUAUUGUAAAUCUAGCAUUCAGAAAACUAAUGAGAGGAAAAGCAGUUUUGUGAAGAAAUAAUGACUCCACUUACAGAUUUAAGAAAAGCAUUCUUAGACCUAUCAGAAAGUUAUUCAGGAAAAUGCUGAACUUGUGAACCAUUGAUGUCCAAUUCAGUUAUAAAAAUUGUGGUGAAUGAAAAACCUGAUUAGUGUAUUCAGUUGUAUGAGGGGAGAAUAAGGCUUUCCAAGAAAUUUUGUCGGUUGUGGUAGGUGUGUGAAAAUGAAAAAAAAAAAAACAGUACUUUAUAAAAAUGUGAAUGCACUUCUAGAGAGGAAGCUAUAGAUCAAAGCUGAUAACCAGAACUUUAGGGAAAGUAAUAUGCUAGCCAGUUAAUUGAAGGAAAACCAAAAUGGACCUGAAAGUGGAAAUGAUAUCCAAGCUGGUACUGUAUGAUAAAACAGUCCAAGCUAGUGAGAAGUAUAGUCAGGACAAACUAAUAGGAAUGAUGCAUAGAAGCCACUCAUUCUACACAACUAGUAUAUAUGAUAAUUUGUUUAGAAAUGUAAUAAUUUCUUCAUCAGGUGUGAAUGUGUGAAGAUAUCUACCAGGAGGCAUCACACUGAACAAUUCAUUUUUUAAUGAUUCUCUUUUUUAUUCAUUUAUUAGUAACUAUCUUCUUUUCUAUCCGGUUAGAUUAAUUCGAUGCAUUAAAACUUAGUCAUUAGCUUAUUUUGUUUUAGUUGAUUUCAAGUAACAUUAUACACAUGUUUUUGUUUGGCAAUUUAGUUUUUUUUUGCGGUAGACACUGAUGUGACAGAGGGUAUAUUAGUAUUUUUAUGUCUUAUGCUAAGACUCAAUUUAUGGAAAGCAUAUCUUACCUUAGGUUAAUUUGUAUAUUUUUAAUAAAAAUAUGUUUGUUUAAAUAAAGAAAUUACUCACUAUAAAGAAAGCUUAGAAACCAAAAUGCUGGAAAAAAAAUAAUGCAGACAGUCUUUCUUCAAAUUGAAAUACAAAUGUAAUUUUAAGGACUUAAGUUUCCAAGCACUGUAAAUGAUUUAACUGCUUUUGCUAGUAAGGAAAUGAGAGGGUUACCGUUAGAUUUUUACUGAACACUUGUCAAUCUUUUUUAUUUAUUUUCUUUCAAAAGAUUAUAAGUUAAAUAUGAUGAAAUUAUCAAUUUAUGUAAUGGGUGGAUGAUGGCUGGUCAGUGUAACACUUCCAUUAGCUUUAGUAGUUCAAUGAUAAGAACACUUUCCUCCAAUGGAAAGAGAUCUGAGUUCACACCUCAGCUGAAGCAGGAAGUGCUGUUGCAGUCAACUUAUUAUUUAUCUUUCUAUGAAAAAAGUUCUCCCCAUAACUUAAUUGUAUAACUUAAUUUUAAUGGGAAUCAAUUUAUAAUAAGAAUAAAAUGUUUAAUUGAUAUUAGAAAAUGUAUGCUUUUCAAAUUUUUUUUUUAAAGGAUACCCAAAAAUGUUAAAGUAAUAAAAGCUACAAAUUUUGUCUUUCUAACAAUACCAAUUUACAUAGAUUGUAGAUAACAGAGAUACUUAAGCAGCUCCUGUAUACUCCAUUGAAAUAUCACUCAUGCCUAUGAACAAGUGAAAAAAUAGGCAUUUUGUAGCAAAUAAAACUUAAUGGAUGUACAUUGGAUAUUUUUAUAUUAUACACCUUUUGAAAGUUACAAUCUUUUAUUUAUUGUGCAUGUUAAAAUAUUGGUAAUUUUCCAUGCCUUUCACUUAGAAAAACAUAGCAGAACAUACCCAGUAAGCCAGAUUUUUCAUCAUAUCAAUAGUUUUGUAACAAAAAAAUUAUAAGUGGUUCUCUUUAAAACUUGAUAUAUCAUUUUUUUAAAUGGAUUCUGUAAAUGUUUUUACCUGCAUACAUAGACAAAUGCAUAAGCUUUCAGAAAAUGUAUUAUUUUACUGAUUUUGAUAUUUGGUUAAUAAGUUUUACUUGCUACAAGUUUAAAUAUUUUAACAGGCUAGGAAGUUGCUAAUCUCUGUUAUCUAUGUCUCUCACCUAGGCAUAAUUAUGAAAUAUCACAUUAACCUUGUGUAUCUUGCAAUUGCUAAACAACUUUGUGUUCUUAGAUAUGUCAAUUUGCUAUCUGUAAACAAUGAUUAAAUUAAUGUGUGUCAUAGUACGAAAAUUAGAUUAUUAAAGACAUUUUACCUUAAA